UAUAAUGAUUAUCGAAAAAGGGAAAAAAAAGGAAUUUGAUACAUAAUUUCUAAUAAUAGAUACUUUUGCCUUGUGAAACAACUGAUCGAGAAUCCCAUCACUCGAUAUCAAACUUUAAAACUUUGUUGAGCGAAUAAAGCAAAUUGUAUACAACGAGCGGGUCGUACAAUAGAUAGAGUGUACAGAUUAGUAAAAAGCAUUUUAUGAUAAUAUUUUGGAUGAUGAAAGUAUAUGCUUCGUGGAAAUGCUUCGCGUUUCGCUCGCUAAUGUUAUUCUUCGUAUUAAAGUUUUUGAUAUCGAUGAGCCACAUGUACUUCUUUCGCAGUCCCUUGAUCCAUCAGUUUUUCUAAUUUGGCAAACGAUAUUCUAAUCUUAAAAGAAGUCGGGGCUUUGAUAGAUGAGGACGAUUCUUACCUAUCUUUCGAUGGAAAAUUAACUGAUCUUGACAAAGCGAUGGCGCGUUUUCCGCUCGAUAUUCGAAUUUUGAAAUUUAUCAUGUUGGGCCACGUUUUUGAAGUGUUACUUGCUUUGGAGAUGCUAUUAUUAUGGGAGCUAGUAUGUCUGUUAACGAUGUUGUUAUUCUUGAGAGAUGCCAUUCUACUGUUUCUUCAUAUACUACAACGGAAAAAAAAAAAAAAAAAAUGGAUUCGUUCCAACGAUGACUGCAUCGCUACUUUAAACGUUUAUAAAAUGUGGCAGAAUGAAAAGGCAAACUGUCGAUUAAACACUUAUCAAGCCGAGAGAUAAUGGACCUAAAGAAAUGGGGAGGGGGGAAUUCUCUAUUUAAGAACUCUUCGUGAAUUGGACUCUAGCGAAUAAAGUCACUAAUUGAUUAUUCCAUUUGGGAAUUAAAAAGAAUACUGAAGUAAACAAAGUCAUCUUUAGGAAGAUAAAUAAAUUGCAUAAUUGCAUAAAUAUCGGAAUGCAAUUGGACAAUAACUGUAAUAAUGAUGAUAUUAUAAUUUGUCAAAAUAAAUUUUAACACAUUUUACUCGAAUUGAGAAAAACAAACAAAAUCACGAAAUCCAGAAGAUGAUAAAGUCAAUUAUUUUAACAGUGAAUGGAAUUAUUAUAACAGACCGCCAUCUGCUCUAGAAAUGAUGAGAAAAUGUGACGUAUAUUCGUUGCAUAAAGCAUUAGAACUACGCGAAAUAGAUGAACAAAAGACCGAGGCUAUGUUGAAACAUCUCUUACAAUUACAGCGUCUUGCCAGGAUACACACGUAGUGGGAAAUGUAGCUGCUUUUUAUAAAUUAUGUAAAAAGGAAACAAUUGACUUAUUAGAAUUACGUGGUCAUCUUUAUUCGGAGCAACAUCUAGAAAACGAGAAACUUUUAUUAACACAUUAACUUGAAAAUUAAGAUACUAUAAUCAAAUUCCUUUAUUCUGAAAUUGAAAUUGAAAUUUUCCA